UACAGAGGUCCCAAGCGUUGUUCGGAUUUACUGGGCGUAAAGGGUGCGUAGGUGGUUGGGUAAGUUUGAUGUGAAAUCUCCGGGCUUAACCCGGAAAUGGCAUUGAAUACUAUUCGGCUAGAGGUUUGGAGGGGGGACUGGAAUUCUUGGUGUAGCAGUGAAAUGCGUAGAUAUCGGGAGGAACAUCAGUGGCGAAGGCGGCCCUCUGGACCAGCACUGACGCUGAGGCACGAAAGCGUGGGGAGCAAACAGG
rnacentral:rRNA from 1 species